CAGCAGCCGCGGGAAUACGUAGGGGGCGAGCGUUGUCCGAAGUUACUGGGCGUAAAGAGCGCGUAGGCGGGUCUUUAAGUGAGGGGUGAAAGGUUCAGGGCUCAACCCGGACACUGCCUUUCAUACUGGAGACCUUGAGUGUGGGAGAGGCGAGUGGAAUGGUCGGUGUAGCGGUGAAAUGCGUAGAUAUCGAUCGGAACACCCAUGGCGAAGGCAGCUCGCUGGCCUAUAACUGACGCUGAGGCGCGAAAGCGUGGGGAGCAAACAGGAUUAGAGACCCCUGUAGUCCCUGUCUCUUAUU
rnacentral:rRNA from 1 species